rnacentral:tRNA from 1 species
GACUUUUUAACUAUACAAGUAUAUAUUUUGAAAAUAUAAAAAAGAGAAACUCUCUAUUAGUCU